UGGGGAAGCCGAUCGACAGCUGUGGAACAACUUACUGGCUGUAGGGAAGCCGUCGCUGCCAUCAGGGUAUGUUUGUAUAGAGGAACUGGCCAGGUUCUCUCUCUCUGUUUGGAGAUGAAUGAUGGCGAGCUGAAUUACUACGGCUGGGAGCCUACCAUCUGCGCAGCAUCCACUGAAUAGCCGCUCUACUGGUCUGGUAGGAAGGUUGUAUGUAGCUUGCCCCCACACACUUCUCCAUAGACCAGCGCUUCAGUCCCACAUGCACAUUCUUCCCUUUGACGAACAUUAACGUAUGGACUUAUUAACAUAAACUCUCAUAAAACCCUUGUGGGUUGUCGCGUUGGUCUUGAAGAAACCAAACAUCGCUGGGACAGUUAUUUUUGUUUUUGGUUUUUGUG